GAAGGGAACCCGGGGAACUGAAACAUCUAAGUACCCGGAGGAAAAGAAAGAAAACUCGAUUCCGUAAGUAGCGGCGAGCGAACGCGGAGGAGCCUAAACCGGAAUGCGUGCAUUCCGGGGUUACGGACUGCAUUUAAGAUUCAGUGAUGUUAACAGAACGGUUUUGGGAAAGCCGGCCGGAGAGGGUGAAAGCCCCGUACGUGAAAGCAGAGCUGACUGAGCAGGAUCCAGAGUACCACGAGACACGUGGAACCUUGUGGGAAAUCAGGGGGACCACCCCCUAAGGCUAAAUACUACUUAGUGACCGAUAGCGCAUAGUACUGUGAAGGAAAGGUGAAAAGGACCCCGGGAGGGGAGUGAAAGAGAACCUGAAACCCUGUGUCUACAAGCUGUGGAAGCACUUUAUAUGUGCGACCGCGUACUUUUUGUAGAACGGUCCGGCGAGUUACGCUUACUGGCAAGGUUAAGCACUUCAGGUGUGGAGCCGUAGGGAAACCAAGUCUUAAGAGGGCCUUAAGUCAGUAGGAGUAGACCCGAAACCGGGUGAUCUAUCCAUGUCCAGGUUGAAGCUGCCGUAAGAGGUAGUGGAGGACCGAACCCACAUCCGUUGAAAAGGGUGGGGAUGAGGUGUGGAUAGGGGAGAAAUUCCAAUCGAACCCGGAGAUAGCUGGUUCUCCUCGAAAUAGCUUUAGGGCUAGCCUCGAUACAGAUUUGCGGAGGUAGAGCACUGAAUUUCCUAGGGGGCGUCAAAGCCUACCGAAGAAUAUCAAACUCCGAAUGCCGCGUAAUCGAUUAUCGGGAGUCAGACUGCACGAGAUAAGUUGGGCGGUCAAAAGGGAAAGAGCCCAGACCUUCAGUUAAGGUCCCCAAGUGCGCGUUAAGUGGAAAAGGAUGUGGGAUUUCGAAGACAACCAGGAUGUUGGCUCAGAAGCAGCCAUCCAUUCAAAGAGUGCGUAAUAGCUCACUGGUCGAGAGGUCCUGCGCCGAAAAUGUCCGGGGCUGAAACGCGCCACCGAAACUAAGGAACCGAAAGGUUGGUAGAGGAGCAUUGCAUGCGGGAAGAAGCAGUACCGAAAGGAGCUGUGGACUGCAUGGAAGAGAGAAUGCCGGAAUGAGUAGCGAGAAUAAGGUGGGAAUCCUUAUGGCCGAAUAUCCAAGGUUUCCAGAGUAAAGCUGAUCUGCUCUGGGUAAGUCGGGGCCUAAGGCGAGGACGAGAGUCGUAGCCGAUGGACAACAGGUGGAGAUUCCUGUACUGCGGUAUGACAGAACUGUGGGGACACGUAAGGAAAGCGGAAGCCGGGAAUGGAAAGCCCGGUGCAAGCGGGGUACCAGUCACUUUGGCAAAUCCGGGUGGCAAUGGGAAGCCGUGAUGCGGAGCGAAAUAAAGUAGCGAAGUCCGUGAGCCAUGCGUCAAGAAAAGCCGCUAUUGUUUAUACCGUACCCGUACCGUAAACCGACACAGGUGGAUGAGGAGAGAAUCCUAAGGCCGGCGGAAGAAGCAUUGUCAAGGAACUCGGCAAAAUGGCCCCGUAACUUAGGGAUAAGGGGUGCCUGGGAAACCAGGCCGCAGAGAAUAGGCUCAAGCAACUGUUUAGCAAAAACACAGGUCUAUGCGAAACCGAAAGGUGAGGUAUAUGGGCUGACGCCUGCCCGGUGCUGGAAGGUUAAGAGGAGAGGUUAGCGGUAACGCGAAGCUUUGAAUUUAAGCCCCAGUAAACGGCGGCCGUAACUAUAACGGUCCUAAGGUAGCGAAAUUCCUUGUCGGGUAAGUUCCGACCCGCACGAAAGGCGUAAUGAUUUGAGCGCUGUCUCGACAAUGCAUCCGGUGAAAUUGAAGUACCAGUGAAGAUGCUGGUUACCUGCGCCAGGACGGAAAGACCCCAUGGAGCUUUACUCCAGUCUGGUACUGGGACUCGGUAUUGCAUGUACAGGAUAGGUGGGAGGCUAGGAGAUGGUAACGCCAGUUGCCAUGGAGCCGCUGUUGGGAUACCACCCUUGCAGUAUUGGGUUUCUAACCAGCCGCCGUGACCCGGCGGUGGGACAAUGCCAGACGGGGAGUUUGACUGGGGCGGUCGCCUCCGAAAGGGUAUCGGAGGCGCCCAAAGGUUCCCUCAGAAUGGACGGAAACCAUUCGAAGAGUGCAAAGGCAGAAGGGAGCUUGACUGCGACACCGACGGGUGGAGCAGGUACGAAAGUAGGGCUUAGUGAUCCGGUGGUAUUAAGUGGGAAUGCCAUCGCUCAACGGAUAAAAGCUACCCUGGGGAUAACAGGCUUAUCACUCCCAAGAGUUCACAUCGACGGAGUGGUU
rnacentral:rRNA from 1 species